AAAUUGAAGAGUUUGAUCAUGGCUCAGAUUGAACGCUGGCGGCAGGCCUAACACAUGCAAGUCGAACGGUAACAGGAAACAGCUUGCUGUUUCGCUGACGAGUGGCGGACGGGUGAGUAAUGUCUGGGAAACUGCCUGAUGGAGGGGGAUAACUACUGGAAACGGUAGCUAA
rnacentral:rRNA from 4 species